rnacentral:rRNA from 1 species
CCUACGUGCGGCAGCAGUGGGGAAUAUUGCACAAUGGGGGGAACCCUGAUGCAGCAACGCCGCGUGGGUGAAGAAGUACUUCGGUAUGUAAAGCCCUGUCAGCAGGGAAGAAAAUGACGGUACCUAACCAAUAAGCCCCGGCUAACUACGUGCCAGCAGCCGCGGUAAUACGUAGGGUGCAAGCGUUAUCCGGAUUUACUGGGUGUAAAGGGAGCGUAGACGGCAAGGCAAGUCUGGAGUGAAAGCCCGUGGCUCAACCACGGGACUGCUUUCGAAACUGUGUUGCUGGAGUGCAGUAGGGGUAAGUGGAAUUCCUAGUGUAGCGGUGAAAUGCGUAGAUAUUAGGAGGAACACCGGUGGCGAAGGCGGCUUACUGGACUGUAACUGACGUUGAGGCUCGAAGGCGUGGGGAGCAAACAGGAUUAGAUACCCCUGUAGUC